rnacentral:lncRNA from 1 species
CAGUCCCUGGGGUCAAGGUCUUGUUGCAAUUGCACGAGAAGGACGAACAUGUCUUUAAGUUUUUACUCAUUUUACCAUCUGUCAUACUUUUUGUCCAAUAAUAGCUCACUUUUUUGAGGGCUUGAGUCUGUUCGAGAGGCAGAAGUUUACAAAUACCUGGAUUAUUCGGAUUAGGAAGUCUUGUUUACUUCUACGAGGUUGUGAUUAAGGAAUAAUGGAGACUUGCAAACUCCAGGUCUUUGAAAAUUAAGAAUUGAUGAGAGCAAAAAGGGAUACGAUGGUGAUAAAAGGAAACAAAGUAGAUUGAUGUCUCUGACCCUCUACAAGAAGACGGCACUGAAUUAUUCAGAUAGGAUAAGAAAGAUACCAUUCUGCCUCUCUUCCUGGAUCUUAUAUCAUGCAGCUGACAUAUGUGAGAUAAGUACUGAUUUAAGUCAAACAAAAAAAGAUGAUAUAAUAGGUUAUGAGUCUAGAAUAUACACACAAGAUACAUUCCAGCCUUUUUCCUCAUGGUUUGUGUAGUAGUAGGCUUGAAUUGAAAUUGAUUUUAUGGAUUUCAGCAAGGGUAACCAAAGUAGACCCAAAAAAUAGUCAGUUCACCCACAAAGGAGUCAUGUUCAUCCAACAAAUCUCUUCCUGAGUCUGAAUCUGUGAUGCAAAGAAAAGGUCCCACCAAAAAAGGAAAAGGAAAUGAAGUGAGUGUGAAAGUGUUUUGGCCACUGAACUGUCUUUAUGCGCUGAAUGGAGAGUGGACUUUGUACAAGAGAUAGGUGACUAAGAGUUGACCCACUAAGAAGUCAGUGUCACUUAACAAAUCUCUUUCUUAGUCUUAAUCUGUGAUGCAAAGACUUGGUCCCACAAAAAAAGGAAAAGGAUAUGCAUUGAGUGUGAAAGUGUUUUGGCCACUGGACUGUCUUUAUACGUUGAACAGAGAGUGGACUUUUGUACAGGAGAUGAGUAACUACGAACUGACCCAGGAAAGGAGUCAGUUUCACUCAACAAAUCUCUUCGUUAGUCUUAAUCUGUGAUGCAAAGACUUGGUCCCACAAGAAAAAAAGGAAAAGGGUAUGCAGUUAGUGUGUUGAAUGUUUCAGCCACUGGACUGUCUUGAUGCGCUGAACAGAGAGUGGACUUUGUGCAAGAGAUGGGUAACUAAGAACUGACCAACAGAAACUUACCCCCUUUAUUCAUUUGCCAAAUUUAAAGGUGAGGGUCAACUCUAAAGUUACAAGAAACGUUCUGAGUUUCUCCUUAGAUACCAAACUUACGCAGUUUCUGACGAAGAUGGUAUCCCGAAAUUCGGUUCCUGUGAACUUAUUUGGCACCGAAGAAGCACCCGUAAGCUUCUCUGGAGUAAAAUAGUGCCUGAAUAAGUGACUCCGUAUUUUAAGUCAAGAUACAUCAGUGUUUAUGGUGGGCUGUGAUUUGAUUCAAGGUAUCAGCUUUCUGUUCCCUCCAAAUGAUUGCUUUUGAUGAAUAAGCUGCUGUGGGGAAGAUUUGACUUUUUUGUCUUUUUCAAAUGUAGUUAAGAGAUAAUCAGUCUAAUACCAAUAGAGAUUUUUUUUUAUGUUCCUUUAAUAAAGGAAGAUAAAGAAAAUUUUACUGAAAAAAUACAGGUAGUUACCACAGAACAGAAGAGCAUUCUCUUAACAAUAUAGAGCAUAUUUGCAAUUUGCGGUUGAUGGGUAUUUUCUUAUAGCUGGUAACCAUGCCACUGUUUGUGUUGAGUUUUGGCUCACUUUUCGUUUACACUAUUAUUUUUUGUUAUCCAGGUAAAACCUAGUACCUAGUCUGAGGGCUGGUCAGGAAAGAUGCUGGUGCCGACUUGCAAGUUAUUGUGCCGGAUGUUUUCUUUCAACAACCGAAACAAACUUGUCCAGUGUAAAUACACAGAGUUCAUAGCAAAGAUCACCCCAUGGAAGUGAGAUCAAGAGAUAUUGGUAGGGUUGAAAUUCAAGGACAAGGAUAUUUUGCCACCAA